GACGAACGCUGGCGGCGUGCUUAACACAUGCAAGUCGAACGGAAAGGCCCUGCUUUUGUGGGGUGCUCGAGUGGCGAACGGGUGAGUAACACGUGAGUAACCUGCCCUUGACUUUGGGAUAACUUCAGGAAACUGGGGCUAAUACCGGAUAGGAGCUCCUGCUGCAUGGUGGGGGUUGGAAAGUUUCGGCGGUUGGGGAUGGACUCGCGGCUUAUCAGCUUGUUGGUGGGGUAGUGGCUUACCAAGGCUUUGACGGGUAGCCGGCCUGAGAGGGUGACCGGCCACCUUGGGACUGAGAUACCGCCCCGACUCCUACGGGAGGCAGCAGUGGGGAAUAUUGCACAAUGGGCGGAAGCCUGAUGCAGCAACGCCGCGUGCGGGAUGACGGCCUUCGGGUUGUAAACCGCUUUCGCCUGUGACGAAGCGUGAGUGACGGUAAUGGGUAAAGAAGCACCGGCUAACUACGUG
rnacentral:rRNA from 1 species